rnacentral:rRNA from 1 species
CUACGGGUUGCUGCAGUGGGGAAUAUUGCACAAUGGAGGAAACUCUGAUGCAGCAACGCCGCGUGGAGGAUGACACUUUUCGGAGCGUAAACCCCUUUUAUAUAGGAAGAAGAUGACGGUACUAUAUGAAUAAGCGCCGGCUAACUCCGUGCCUGCAGCCGCGGUAAUACGGAGGGCGCAAGCGUUACUCGGAAUCACUGGGCGUAAAGAGCGUGUAGGCGGAUUAAAAAGUCAGAAGUGAAAUCCUAUAGCUUAACUAUAGAACUGCUUCUGAAACUCUUAAUCUAGAAUAUGGGAGAGGUAGAUGGAAUUUCUGGUGUAGGGGUAAAAUCCGUAGAGAUCAGAAGGAAUACCGAUUGCGAAGGCGAUCUACUAGAACAUUAUUGACGCUGAGACGCGAAAGCGUGGGGAGCAAACAGGAUUAGAUACCCCGGUAGUC